rnacentral:rRNA from 1 species
CGAGAGGCUUCGGCAAUGGGGGAAACCCUGACCGAGCGACGCCGCGUGGGCGAUGAAGGCCGUUAGGUUGUAAAGCCCUGUCGAGUAGGAAGAAACGCAGGUGGGUAAACAAUCCAUCUGCUUGACGGUACUGCUAAAGGAAGCUCCGGCCAACUCCGUGCCAGCAGCCGCGGUAAUACGGGGGGAGCGAACGUUGUUCGGAAUUACUGGGCGUAAAGGGCGUGCAGGCGGCCUUGUAAGUGGAAUGUGAAAUACCCUGGCUCAACCAGGGAACUGCAUCCCAAACUGCAAGGCUUGAGUAUAGGAGAGGAUGGGGGAAUUCCCGGUGUAGCGGUGAAAUGCAUUGAUAUCGGGAGGAACACCAGUGGCGAAGGCGCCCAUCUGGCCUAAUACUGACGCUCAGGCGCGAAAGCUAGGGGAGCAAAC